GACGAACGCUGGCGGCGUGCCUAAUACAUGCAAGUAGAACGCUGAAGAGAGGAGCUUGCUCUUCUUGGAUGAGUUGCGAACGGGUGAGUAACGCGUAGGUAACCUGCCUUGUAGCGGGGGAUAACUAUUGGAAACGAUAGCUAAUACCGCAUAACAAUGGAUGACACAUGUCAUUUAUUUGAAAGGGGCAAUUGCCCCACUACAAGAUGGACCUGCGUUGUAUUAGCUAGUAGGUGAGGUAAUGGCUCACCUAGGCGACGAUACAUAGCCGACCUGAGAGGGUGAUCGGCCACACUGGGACGGAGACACGGCCCAGAGGCCUACGGGAGGCAGCAGUAGGGAAUCUGCGGCAAUGGGGGCAACCCUGACCGAGCAACGCCGCGUGAGGGAAGAAGGUUGUCGGAUCGGAAAGCUCGGUUGUAAGUCAAGAACGGGUGUGAGAGUGGAAAGUUCACACUGUGACGGUAGCUGACCAGAAAGGGACGGCUAACUACGUG
rnacentral:rRNA from 1 species